UCCGGAAUAUUCAAAUUAGGCUAAAGGUGAGUUUUGUUGAAACUUCCGGGAAGAAAAUUUGCUACCUCGUUACGAGUGGACGGUUUUACGGAAGUCAAAUAAUUAAUAAAUAAAUAUAAAUAUACGCAAUUAAAUCCGUAAAUCGAUUAUAAAAUCAUCUAACAUUCCAUAAAUCGAUAUGAAAAUAUCCAAAUAAACUAUAUUUUCUCCUGAGCAUAUAGAAAUUGAAAUCUCUCAAAUACGAACACAUAUGAGCAGUUAACGCAAUAAACCAGAUAAUAUAAAAUUCACAAAAAUUCAUAUAUUAAUCAUAUAAUACUCAUAAUUAACCAUGAUUAAUUAGCCAACAAAUCCACCAAUAUCACUUACUCACAUCACACAUAUAUUCACAUAAUAAUCAUCUAGAAUUUUCAAAACAAUAUAUGAAAAUCAGUUUUGAAAAUACAAUAACACAAUAACCCGGGGUUUAAAUAUAAACCUUUGAAAACUCAUUAAACUGGAAUAAAAUAUUAAAUCUUAUUCCUUUCUUUUAAAGAAAAUCAUUUAUACUAUUAAUAAAAAUAUUUUUAAAAAUCCGGGUUAUUACAAUCUACCCUCCUUAUAGGGAUUUCGUCCUCGGAAUCAGAGAAAGAAAGAGGAUGCAUAAUCUGUAAAAUCCAUACUAAUCCACAACACAAGUAUAAUCACAUACAACUAUUCACAUAAUCAUAUCAAUAUUCAACUAGAGCCAACAAUAAUAUCUAGACAAAUAGAUUUAUAAUAAUCAAAUCUAAAUUUAAUAAUAUGGGAUAUUACAUUCUACCCCCCUUAUAAGGAUUCCGUCCUCGGAAUCCUCCGAAGAAACUAAAAUGUACACACUUCGUAAUAUCAUAUCGUCAUCCACCUUUGAUUGAUCUUGGCAUACCUUUAACUUUAAUGGAAAAGGAAAAUCAAACUUUCGCGAUUGCAACAUUCAUUUCCCAAGAAUCGAUCCUUGGGAAUUUUCGAAUAGAAUAAGAUGUUUUCAAAAUAGGUGACAUUGGAAUACAAGAGUGACUGGGAGAUCAAUACGAUCAAAUGAACUUAAUGUUGCGUGUCCAUAUUAGACACUACUAAAGGUUGUUAACCUUCUUGUAAUCACAACACACACAAGUGAUGGCGUCCCAUCCAACUCCUAUCACACAGACAGGUAUACCUUGUGUCCCCUAUACAUAGGGUUGUUCAUCCCAAUCAGAUGGAAAGAAUCCAAGAAAUCUCAAGGAGCAUCAAGGAAUGUUAAGGAUUAUCGAGGCAUAUAUUAAGGAACAUCAAAAAGAUAUCAACGAAUAUCAAAGAAUGUCAAAGAAUAUCAACGAAUAUUAAGGGAUAUCAAAGAAUAUGAAAUAAUAUCAAGGGAUAUCAAAGAAUAUCAAAUAAUAUCAAGGAAUUCCACUGUCUCUUCAUAAACACGCCUUUAUCAUACACCGAUUCAAUACUAACUCACACCCAUAAUCAAUAUCAAUGUCAUCCUAGAAUUUGGGAAAUCGAAGAACUCAUUUAUCGAAACUUUGGUAGAAAGGAUAUCAUGAUAAUAUCUCAUUGAUGAGAAAACAAUCAAAAGAAUCUUUAGUUGAAGAGAGGUAUUGCCAAGGUCUUCUCAAAUUCCCACUCUGCUUUACGAAAUCGUUAUUCGAUUUAUGUCAUCCUUUCAACGUUCUUCAUAAUCAAUCGAUUUGACUCGUAAUAGCCUCGUAAGAUGUCAUCGUAGACGUUAUCGUCCGUAAUAACUCUGGCCCAUGUAGUUUACAUUCUUCUACUUUAUCCCAGUUGCCUUUGAAAUCCAUAGCACAAACACGUAACGUAUCUUCGAUUGUCUGGAUCAUCAACCUGUGGGUUAUGGGCCCACCUUGAUGCCAUUUGAAAUCCCGAUUAGCUCGAAGCGUUGUCGUCGAGGACUAACGUUCUAACUUACUCGUAGACAUCAUCUCUAAUAACUGGACUCAAUUCCACGUACUCUCUAUCAUUCACUUCUCACCUAUCAACCUCUAUCUACCAAUCUCUCCUUCUAAUCCAAUACAACUCAUACUCUACACUUACUCUUCAUAUCUUCACUCAAAACAAUAUACAUCUUCCAAAUAUCUGACAUGGUCAACAUACUAUGAACCAUGCAUUUAUAUCAUCCUCAAAUCAAUACAAUAAUCCAAUUUCAAAUAUGCAGUAUAGUCAGAAUACUCUGAACUCUGCAUUUUCACCAUUCUCAACUCAAUCAUUCACUAUCAAACUCUUCUAUAUAGGUCUAAUACUGACCUUUUCCACAAUUCACCAUCUCAAUUAAUCAACAUACUAGAAAUCAUAUGUCUAAACUUAAGAAUCCUAAUCUCUUUAAAUAUCCACACUUAACUUGAUCAUCUAACUAGACUCUAUGCUUCACUCACAUCUCUAGACUAUGUCUAAAUAGUCUCACAAUACCUCGAUACGAGGUCACACAACGUCUAACCUAUAUAAAACUUAAAACUAUAAUCUAUAUUCAAAUUCCAAUAACUUGUAACCUGUUGCUCUGAUACCAACUGUGACAGUCCGGGAAUCCGGGGGUCUGGAUUCUGACGUCACCACAUAAAACCCAUUUUUAAACACUUUUGAAAACCUGUAUUUUUUUUUUUUAAAGAUAAUGAAUCCAAAUAAUUUAAAACUUGAAAACAUUUAAUAAAAGAUUUGAAAGACGUUAAAUAAAAGAUUUAAAAGAGAACAUCUUCACCCCCAAAACAACAGGAUCGCUUCCAGGUUACAGUAUUGAAAUUAGAAUCAACCACUAUUAUUACACAACAUCUCUUACCAAAUCAGAUCAUCUUCGAUAAGAAGAAUCACUGUCAACUAUUCCAGCUAUGACUUACACUUGAAUCCUUAUAGCACAGCUCUAGCUUGCAUCAACCUCAUCAACUUUCCUGAACACUCCUCGACCACUGGAUCCUCAACUCUGUCUCCUCGCCUAGCAUUAGCCUUAUUCACAAUCUCAAUCAAUCAUCUCAUCUUUAAGCCUUUCUGAAAUGGUUAGAAAGGAAUAGCAAGGGUGAGCAACAAUGCUCAGCAAGUAAUAAUAAACAAUGAUAGUUCUGAAAUGAUAUAACAGAAGUUCACGAGUUCAAGAUAUAAGAGGAUUCAACCUGAGUUCAUGAGUUCAUGGUAUUGUAUAGAAUGAUUUACAAUACCUUGCAGCAUUUAAACUGAGAAAUUCAAUCUUUCCAAAGAAUUAUUGAAUUGGACUAUCACAUUUUAAUUAAAACCAAGGUUAGGCAGCUGAUCAGUUCCGCACUAACCCCGAGCAGGCCCCGCCAUGCUCUAUCACUGGAUCCAAGGCACUCAUUGGCCUAACAUGACCACGAAUCUGGUCCACAGGUUUAUAUAAAAACAAUAAUCCAAUUCUCUAAUUCAAUUCAAGAAGCCAAUGUAAAUUAACAGAACAUCAUCAUAAAUAUCAUCAACAACAGAAUAAUUCCAAUUCAAACUUUGAUAAUAAUCUAUUCAUAAAUCAUGAUCCAUCAUUUCAUAAAUCACAGUUCAGGAAAUCCUCAACUAUUCAGUAUCCUCCAUUAUCGGCUAAGCAACUGAAUUUAGCCUGCUAAACCAGCAUGACAAUGGCGGGUUGAAUAAUCAAGAAGAUCCCAAUUCAUUCAAAGCUCUAACUAUCACUGAGCAACACAUGCUUCAAUGACAAUCUGAACUUCGAAUUAAUUUGUAAAACGGAAAUUCUUUAGAAACUUGAAGAUUAGAAAGAAUGGGUCAGAAUACUCGCACUUUCGAACAUUGAAAAGAAAGGUAUGAAUACUUGAAACAUAUACCAAAGGAAUGGAUCAGAAUAUUUGCAAUAUAUCCAAGAGAAAGGUUUAGGAUACUUGCCUUAAAUCUGACUCCAGUCUCACAUCUCAAUCUCAUCUUUCCACUUUCACAAUCUAUGCAUCUCAUAGUCUCUAGACCAUCUCUGGCUAUACUCUAUCUACCGUACAUCUUCGCUUCGCUUACUCGAUUCAUCCCUUAUUCGCUUUGUAACACCACGUGACUUUCUGAACGUCUUCGGGCAUACACGUCUCGUCCAAAUCCUUUACGAGAAUAAGAUAACACUAUAAUCACUAAACAAUCGAUCGCAUAUACAUCUCACGUAUAUCAAUACCCACUUAUAUAUCCCUUUAAACUUAUCAGAUACCACGUAACACAUAAGCAUGCUUUAACUCUAACAUAUAGUCAAUCAUAUUCCACAUAACAUAUCACCAAUCAAUUAUCAUAUAAAUCCUUAUCGAAAAUCCGACAUCGUCUCGUCUAUGUAUAAGACUAUCCACCUAUUAUCCUAUCUCAAUCAUUAAUCAACCAACAAAAUCCAAUAGCUAUAAUCCAUAUAUUCUUAUCCAAUAUCAAUCAUACGAAUCAUUUAUCACUUCACAAUAUCAAAACUAACACGUACUUCACAUAAUCAUCACCUGAUAGCACUUAGAUCACAUAUUAUCACAUUAUGCAUACUUAUCAACAAUUAUUCACCUUAUAGACUCAGCCAUAUAGUCACAUCAUAUUAAAAUAGACGUUAUAAGCUUCUGUCUCUCUUUCGUUUCACUUGAUUCCGACUUACGGAUCAAAAGUUAUGCUCAAAACAGUUUUCUCACUCUCCUAUCGGCACAUAACACAUCCAACCAAUAGCAGACAACACACAACACAUAAGGUUUCCCAUCCCAAUUGAUAUUAAAUCAAGUCUUGGGUUAAAAAUGAUUUUUCGGGAAUUUUCCAGAAUUUUUAAACAUUUUUCGGAAUUAAAAUCGAUAAAAGAAUCACUUUUCGAAUAAAUAAUCAAGUCCCAAAUACUUGAAAUUGGACUUGAAAUCAUUCAUAAACAAUUAUCGAGCCUUGAAAAUAAUUUGGAAAAAUAUUUUAAAGCUCGAAACUAUUUUUCGGAAUUUUUAAAUCAAAAAGGAUUAAUUAAAUCCAAUUAAUUAAUCAAUUAAAAUCAAUUAAUAAUUAAUUAAAAUAAUUAAUCAAUUAAUAUUUAAAUUAAUUGACCAAUUAAAAUAAUUAAUUACUAAUUAAAAUUAAUUAAUAAACUAAUUUAGAUUUAUUUUUGAAUAAAGAAAUAAUUAAAAACUAUUUUUGGAAUUUAAAAUAAUUAAAUAAAACAAUUUUAGAAAAUUAAAUCAAAAGGUUUAUUUUGUAAACUUUUGAAAGUUUUGUCCAGGGUUUAAAGUGCAACUUUUCAAAGUUACAGGGGGUAAUUCAUAAGUUUCAGAACCUGAGUACAAAAACUUCAUCAUCUUCAAAACUUCGGUGACCAAACAGCAAUAAGCCGCCGGCCACCACACUAACUCGCCGGAAAUUCAUUUCCAGGCGUCCUCCACUCACCAUCUACUCCAGAUCAGUAGUACACACACCCAUAAAUCAAUCCCCCAUCUUUAAUUAGGCAGAAGUCGCGCGAAUUCGCCGGAAAAUCCGGCCGAAGUCGGCGACUUCCCGCCGCCGAUGGCGGCGAUUCGAGCCACCUCCGCUCAAACCAAGCACACCAGCAUACUCCCCUUUCUCUCCUCUUUCUAUUCAUAUAUACCACUACUGCCCAGAUUUAGCGGAACCCAUUUUCCGGCCAAAAUUCAAACUUUUCCGGCAACAAGCUCAAGAACACCAAGAACACAAUUUCAAUAAUCAAACUGACUUUUCUACAUGUUAUUGAACUCCGUUUUUGACAUAUAAUAUACCAAAACGACGAGAAAAACAUGCUCUACAUCAUAGAAUCAUCAAAUCACAUAAACGGAAUCGUUUGCAAAAAUUCAUCAUUUAAAUCAUAUAAACUCGAAUUUUAGAAAAAUAAUCUAAAAUCACCUGUUGAAUCUGCAUAUAAACGGAUGAUUAAACUUGAUUCUACGCGUCGAUAGCUUCGUUUUGACUAUUUAUACGCCUCCAUCGGAUUCCAAUAACACCUUCAAAUCUUCGUUUGAUUAUGAAGAACACGAAGAACACCGCUCGGUUUCUCUCGAUAUUCGUGCAGAGAAACUGUUGAAAUGAUUUCUACGGUGAAAAUAAGUUACAGGAAAGUCUAUUUAUAUUUACAAAUAAUUGGUACCCCUUUGGAUCGUUUAUGACAUGAAAAUACGUAUUUAAUAGCUUUAUAUUAAUAAAGCGGGGUCCAAUCGGUACCGGUUUUCGAGAUAAUCAUCAAAACGGGGCUUUUUAACUCAAUUAUUGGUCUGCGGGUCCCAUUGCAAUUAUUACAAGAUAAGGAUGAAUAUAAUAAUCAAAAUAUCUCGUUUCACGCUUAUCGAGACAAACUGGAUAAUUAUCAACAAUUAAAAUACCCGAAAAACUCCGCCGGACCGACUCCGGGGAAAACCGUACUCCGGAUCGAAAAAGUCAAAACACGAAAAAUGUCCGGAAUAUUCAAAUUAGGCUAAAGGUGAGUUUUGUUGAAACUUCCGGGAAGAAAAUUUGCUACCUCGUUACGAGUGGACGGUUUUACGGAAGUCAAAUAAUUAAUAAAUAAAUAUAAAUAUACGCAAUUAAAUCCGUAAAUCGAUUAUAAAAUCAUCUAACAUUCCAUAAAUCCAUAUGAAAAUAUCCAAAUAAACUAUAUUUUCUCCUGAGCAUAUAGAAAUUGAAAUCUCUCAAAUACGAACACAUAUGAGCAGUUAACGCAAUAAACCAGAUAAUAUAAAAUUCACAAAAAUUCAUAUAUUAAUCAUAUAAUACUCAUAAUUAACCAUAAUUAAUUAGCCAACAAAUCCACCAAUAUCACUUACUCACAUCACACAUAUAUUCACAUAAUAAUCAUCUAGAAUUUUCAAAACAAUAUAUGAAAAUCAGUUUUGAAAAUACAAUAACACAAUAACCCGGGGUUUAAAUAUAAACCUUUGAAAACUCAUUAAACUGGAAUAAAAU
rnacentral:lncRNA from 1 species